AGUAAUGUCUGGGAAACUGCCUGAUGGAGGGGGAUAACUACUGGAAACGGUAGCUAAUACCGCGUAAUGUCGCAAGACCAAAGUGGGGGACCUUCGGGCCUCAUGCCAUCAGAUGUGCCCAGAUGGGAUUAGCUAGUAGGUGGGGUAACGGCUCACCUAGGCGACGAUCCCUAGCUGGUCUGAGAGGAUGACCAGCCACACUGGAACUGAGACACGGUCCAG
rnacentral:rRNA from 1 species